CUGGUCAGCUGGACAGAUCUGAAUGCUGAAGCCCCCCAGCUUCACAGGAAGAGCCCAGAAACCUCUUUCCCUGCUUCUGUCAGGACCUAUGGGACCCCCUGUGAUGACUCAAUGGGACAUGGAUGUACACUUUGCUCAAGUGCUGCUCAGGGAAAAUCCAACUGAGAUUUAGCUUGCUCAGCUCUUUCUUUCCAUUGUUAUCAUUAUGUCAACAAAUAUUUUGAAAAUUACAUAAUCAACAGUCCUUGCUUGGAAAAGCCAUACGGAUCACAUCACCAUCUCCCACAUAGAUUGCCCAGUGCUUAUAGAGAAGGUGGAAAAUCUCAAUCAGGUCUCCAGGCUCGGGGUCUUCACAAAACAGCAACAGAAAAACCAGAGAUGGUGUAGACCGACUUCUCAGCAAGAGCAGAGACUGGCUGGGGAGCUGCAGCUCGGCCUGGGGACCCUCUUGCUGCUGUUCAUCACCUGCUUUGGGACACCCACUUUUGGAGAUUCCCACCAGAGAGACACAAACUGACAGCAUCCUAAUGGGACCUGAGCCUUGGAGGGGACACUUGUGGAGCCACCCAGCUUCCAGCACUGAGGAGGCUGCUGCAUUCACUCAGUCAUCCUCUGCCAGCCCAUUUCCUACAAUAACUGCAGCCCUCACACCAUCCCCAGGGAAGGAAGCAUCACUCCAUUGCUCAGGUGGGAAGCUGAGGAUCAGAGAGAUGAAGGUAAAAUACCACAUAAAAUAAUGACCAGCUCAAAUUAGUCUGUCUUCCUUCCUCCUCAAUAUCCUGUCAAGUUUUGCUUAGCGUUUUAAAAGUUCCUGGUGCUGGUCAGCUCUGAAAAAUGUCCAUCCGGUUUUGUCAUUUAUCUCACAUCUUGGCCCCUCAGGUAGGGUCUAGGGUCCUCGCUCAUGUCUGAAUAAUACAUCUGAAUGUCACCCGAUAUGUUAACACUUAAAUGUAAAAUUAGCAGUAUGUUUUUCUUAUGUACUUUAUCAGGGGAAAUGUUCCUUCU
rnacentral:lncRNA from 1 species